CAGGACGAACGCUGGCGGCGCGCCUAAUACAUGCAAGUCGAACGGUCUUUUCUAUGGAAGCUUGCUUCCACUGAGAAGAUAGUGGCGAACGGGUGAGUAACACGUGGGUAACCUGCCCAUAAGAGGGGGAUAACAUCCGGAAACGGGUGCUAAUACCGCAUAGUUUUCUUGAUCGCAUGAUCGGGAAAGGAAAGACGGCCUUUGUGCUGUCGCUUAUGGAUGGACCCGCGGCGUAUUAGUUAGUUGGUGAGGUAACGGCUCACCAAGACGAUGAUACGUAGCCGACCUGAGAGGGUGAUCGGCCACAUUGGGACUGAGACACGGCCCAAACUCCUACGGGAGGCAGCAGUAGGGAAUCUUCCGCAAUGGACGAAAGUCUGACGGAGCAACGCCGCGUGAGUGAAAGAAGGUUUUCGGAUCGUAAAACUCUGUUGUCAGAGAAGAACAAGUUGGAGAGUAACUGCUCCAGCCUUGACGGUAUCUGACCAGAAAGCCACGGCUAACUACGUGCCAGCCGCCGC
rnacentral:rRNA from 1 species